AGGCUGAAUAGAAACCAGUCCUUAGGGUUUCUGGGUAUCUCCUGGUGGUUUGCUCGGGGAAGACCUCUGUCAGAAAGCAGGGAGGUGUUGCCUUCCUUGAGGCUGUUGGCCCAGGCUGCGGGAUGGCAGCCUGCUCUGCCUUGGCGCUGUCCAGUGAUACCAGCUUUUUUGGUUGAGAAGCUCUUUCUAUCAAGUGGUAAACCUAUAAAAUAAGAAGCAAGCCAGAAUUCUCUGGUCCUGUUGGUGCUGAAGGAACAGCAAGAGGCUGAGUGAGCUAUGGCACAUCCCACACAUCUCACCCCAGUAGUUUGUCAAAUAAAAUACAAGAUGUCCAAUUAA
rnacentral:lncRNA from 1 species